UACGUGAGCCCCAAGCGUUACCCGGAUUUACUGGGCGUAAAGGGUGUGUAGGCGGUCUACUUAGUCGCUUGUUAAAGCCCGGGGCUUAACCCCGGAAUCGCGGGCGAAACGGGUAGACUCGAGGGUGCGAGAGGUCUAUGGAACUCAUGGUGUAGGGGUGAAAUCCGUUGAUAUCAUGGGGAACACCAAAAGCGAAGGCAAUAGACUGGCGCAUUCCUGACGCUGAGACACGAAAGCCAGGGUAGCGAACGGG
rnacentral:misc_RNA from 1 species